UACGGAGGGGGCAAGCGUUAUUCGGAAUUAUUGGGCGUAAAGGGCGCGUAGGCGGCUAGAUGUGUCAAAGGUGAAAUCCCUCGGCUCAACUGAGGAACUGCCUUUGAAACUGUCUGGCUUGAGGCCGGGAGAGGGUAGCGGAAUUCCCAGUGUAGCGGUGAAAUGCGUAGAUAUUGGGAGGAACACCAGUGGCAAAGGCGGCUACCUGGACCGGUUCUGACGCUGAGGCGCGAAAGCGUGGGUAGCAAACAGG
rnacentral:rRNA from 1 species